rnacentral:tRNA from 1 species
CAAGAUGUAGCUUAACCAAAGCAUCUCGCUUACACCGAGAACAUGCCCGUUCAACCCGGAUCAUUUUGA